rnacentral:piRNA from 1 species
UACACUUUCAGAUCCCUGUUGGUCUGUGACU